rnacentral:tRNA from 4 species
GCCCGGAUGGUCUAGUGGUAUGAUUCGCCCUUAGGGUGGGCGAGGUCCCCGGUUCAAUCCCGGGUUCGGGCC